rnacentral:rRNA from 1 species
AGCGAACGUUAGCGGCGGGCCUAACACAUGCAAGUCGAACGCGAAAGGUCUUCGGACUGAGUAGAGUGGCGCACGGGUGAGUAACACGUAGGUAAUCUACCCUUUGGCGGGGGAUAACGUUCCGAAAGGAGCGCUAAUACCGCAUAAGACCCACGGAGUCUCCGGACGCUGUGGGAAAAGGUGGCCUCUUCUUGAAAGCUACCACCGAAGGAUGAGCCUGCGUCCCAUCAGCUAGUUGGUAAGGUAAUGGCUUACCAAGGCGAAGACGGGUAGCUGGUUUGAGAGAAUGAUCAGCCACACUGGCACUGGAACACGGGCCAGACUCCUACGGGAGGCAGCAGUGAGGAAUAUUGGGCAAUGGGCGAAAGCCUGACCCAGCCACGCCGCGUGAGUGAUGAAGGCCCUCGGGUCGUAAAGACUCUUUCAGCCGGGAAGAAAACGCAUGGGUUAAUACCCUGUGUGGAUGACGGUACCGGAAUAAGAAGCACCGGCUAACUACGUAGCCAGCAGCCGCGGUAAAGU